GGUACAGGCCAGGGAUGAAGGGUAGAUAUGACGAUGAGUACUGUUUUGAAAAGAAGGGAUUCAUAUGCCAAAUAGCUAUAGAUUGUGACUGUGAUUGUUAAACUUUUCCAUCUGAUGUAGCUAUCAUGGUUUACCUGGUAACUUCAUUAUCAACGUAGACAAAACUCAAGUAUUCAAUUUAUCUGCUAUUGUUUCGCUUAUAACUAAACAUCGUUUACGUCAUUUCUACACCUCGACUUCUAUAACAACGGUUUUAGUAUAACUGAUUGAUACUAUGAGAACUACUAUAUAUAAUACAAUAUAUAAUUAAUUGAUUGAUAUCAAUUAAUCUUAUAUACCAUGUAUUCAUCUUGUACAACUCAGAAAGGUGGUGGUAUGGUUGUAGCAUCAAUAAAAUGUGCACUAAUG